GACGAACCGUGCAAACGUUGUUCGGAAUCACUGGGCUUAAAGGGCGCGUAGGCGGGCAAGCAAGUCGAAGGUGAAAUCCCACGGCUCAACCGUGGAAGUGCCCCCGAUACUGCUUGUCUUGAGGGAGAUAGGGGCGUGCGGAACUUCCGGUGGAGCGGUGAAAUGCGUAGAUAUCGGAAGGAACACCGGCGGCGAAAGCGGUGCACUGGGGCUUAACUGACACUGAGGCACGAAAGCCAGGGGAGCGAACGGG
rnacentral:rRNA from 1 species